UACAGAGGUCUCAAGCGUUGUUCGGAUUCAUUGGGCGUAAAGGGUGCGUAGGUGGCGAUGUAAGUCGGGUGUGAAAUCUCCAAGCUUAACUUGGAAACUGCACUCGAUACUGCGUCGCUCGAGGACUGUAGAGGGCAUUGGAAUUCACGGUGUAGCAGUGAAAUGCGUAGAUAUCGUGAGGAAGACCAGUGGCGAAGGCGAAUGCCUGGGCAGUUCCUGACACUGAGGCACGAAAGCCAGGGGAGCAAACGGGAUUAGAUACCCCGGUAGUCCUGGCAGUAAACGGUGCACGUUUGGUAUGGGGGGGUCGACACCUUCCGUGCCGGAGCUAACGCGUUAAACGUGCCGCCUGAGGAGUACGGUCGCAAGAUUAAAACUCAAAGAAAUUGACGGGGACCCGCACAAGCGGUGGAGUAUGUGGCUUAAUUCGAUGCAACGCGAAGAACCUUACCUGGUCUUGACAUGCAUCUCUAAUCCGGUGAAAGCCGGUGAGUGUAGCAAUACACGAUUUGCACGGGUGCUGCAUGGCUGUCGUCAGCUCGUGUCGUGAGAUGUUGGGUUAAGUCCCGCAACGAGCGCAACCCCUGUGAACUGUUGCCAUGGAGGCGCGAGCCUCCGGCACUCUGUUCAGACUGCCCCGGAUAACGGGGAGGAAGGUGGGGACGACGUCAAGUCAGUAUGGCCCUUACGACCAGGGCUGCACACGUACUACAAUGCCCGAGACAGAAAGAUCCGAGACCGCGAGGUGGAGGAAAUCACUAAACUCGGGCCCAGUUCGGAUUGGAGGCUGCAACUCGCCUCCAUGAAGCCGGAAUCGCUAGUAAUGGCACAUCAGCUACGGUGCCGUGAAUACGUUCCCGGGUCU
rnacentral:rRNA from 1 species